rnacentral:rRNA from 1 species
AGAGUUUGAUUCUGGCUCAGAACGAACGCUUGCAGCGUGGAUUAGGCAUGCAAGUCGAACGGGAAGCCACGUGUUCAAUCCUUCGGGAGAGAACGUGUGGUGGAGAGUGGCGAAAGGGUGAGUAUCGCGUGGGUAAUCUACCUCUAAGUUUGGGAUAACCCUUCGAAAGGGGGGCUAAUACCGGAUGUGGUCUUCCAACGCAUGUUGGGGUGACUAAAGGCGGGGAUCUUCGGACCUGCCGCUUGGAGAGGAACCCGCGUACCAUCAGCUUGUUGGUGAGGUAAUGGCUCACCAAGGCUUACGGUUAGCCGGCCUGAGAGGGUGAUCGGCCACACUGGGACUGAGACACUGCCCAGACUCCUACGGGAGGCUGCAGUCGAGGAUCAUUGUCAAUGUGCGAAAGCGUGAACAUGCGACGCUGCGUGGAGGAUGACGGCCUUCGGGUUGUAAACUCCUGUCAUUCGGGAAAAACGGUCCUGAUGUUAAUAUCAUCGGGGAGUGAUGGUACCGAAAGAGGAAGCCACGGCUAACUCUGUGCCAGCAGCCGCGGUAAUACAGAGGUGGCGAGCGUUGUUCGGAUUUACUGGGCGUAAAGAGUGCGUAGGUGGUUUUGUAUGUCGAAUGUGAAAGCCCGUGGCUCAACUGCGGAAUUGCAUUCGAAACUGCGGAACUUGAGUGCAGGAGGGGAGAGCGGAAUUCUUGGUGUAGCGGUGAAAUGCGUUGAUAUCAAGAAGAACACCGGUGGCGAAGGCGGCUCUCUGGAAUGUUACUGACACUGAGGCACGAAAGUUGGGGGAGCAAACAGGAUUAGAUACCCUGGUAGUCCCAACCGUAAACGGUGUGCACUUGGUGUGGGGAGUAUUGACCCUCCCCGUGCCGGAGCUAACGCGUUAAGUGCACCGCCUGGGGAGUACGGCCGCAAGGCUAAAACUCAAAGAAAUUGACGGGGGCCCGCACAAGCGGAGGAGCAUGUGGCUCAAUUCGAUGCAACGCGAAGAACCUUACCAGGGCUUGACAUGUAACUGCAACUCCCCUGAAAGGGGGAUUCCUUCGAGGGUGUUACACAGGUGCUGCAUGGCUGUCGUCAGUUCGUGCCGUGAGGUGUUGGGUUAAGUCCCGCAACGAACGCAACCCCUGUGUUUAGUUGCCACUCCCAAUUAUUUGGGAAGCACUCUAGACAGACUGCCCGUACAAGCGGGAGGAAGGUGGGGACGACGUCAAGUCAGUAUGGCCCUUACGCCCUGGGCUGCACACGUGCUACAAUGACAUGUACAAAGGGAUGCAAUACCGCGAGGUGGAGCAAAUCCCCAAAGCUUGUCCCAGUUCGGAUUGGAGUCUGCAACUCGACUCCAUGAAGUUGGAUUCGCUAGUAACGGCGCAUCAGCUACGGCGCCGUGAAUACGUUCCCGGGCCUUGUACACACUGCCCGUCACAUCAUGAAAGCCGUCUGCACCCGUAGUCGUUGUUCUAACCCGGCUUUAGUUGGGGGGAAGAUGCCGAAGGUGUGGGUGGUGAUUGGGAUGAAGUCGUAACAAGGUA